rnacentral:rRNA from 1 species
AGUAGUUUGACUCCGUGGCUCGAGGACAACGCUGGCGGCGUGCUUCAUACAUGCAAGUCGAACGAGAAGCUAGAGCUUGCUCUAGUGGAAAGUGGCGGACGGGUGAGUAACACGUAGGAAACCUGCCUUUUAGUGGGGGACAACAGAGGGAAACUUCUGCUAAUACCCCAUAUGAGCGUAGCUGAAAUGCUAUUCUUGAAAACUCCGGUGCUAAAAGAUGGGCCUGCGCCUGAUUAGCUAGUUGGCAGGGUAACGGCCUACCAAGGCAACGAUCAGUAGCCGACUUGAGAGAGUGAUCGGCCACAUUGGGACUGAGACACGGCCCAAACUCC